rnacentral:lncRNA from 1 species
AUGUCUGGUCGCGGCAAAGGCGGAAAGGGUCUGGGCAAAGGAGGCACUAAGCGCCACCGCAAAGUCCUUCGUGAUAACAUCCAGGGCAUUACCAAGCCUGCUAUUCGGCGCCUGGCUCAUCGUGGUGGUGUGAAGCGCAUCUCCGGGCUCAUCUACGAGGAGACCCGCGGGGUGCUGAAGGUGUUCCUGGAGAACGUGAUCCGCGAGCAGUCACCUACACCGAGCACGCCAAGCGCAAGACUGUCACCGCCAUGGACGUGGUCUACGCGCUCAAGCGACAGGGCCGCACCCUCUACGGCUUCGGCGGCUGA